rnacentral:rRNA from 1 species
UACGUAGGGUGCGAGCGUUAAUCGGAAUUACUGGGCGUAAAGCGGGCGCAGACGGUUACUUAAGCAGGAUGUGAAAUCCCCGGGCUCAACCUGGGAACUGCGUUCUGAACUGGGUGACUAGAGUGUGUCAGAGGGAGGUAGAAUUCCACGUGUAGCAGUGAAAUGCGUAGAGAUGUGGAGGAAUACCGAUGGCGAAGGCAGCCUCCUGGGAUAACACUGACGUUCAUGCCCGAAAGCGUGGGUAGCAAACAGU